rnacentral:rRNA from 1 species
CUUAACACAUGCAAGUCGAGGGGCAGCAUGGUCUUAGCUUGCUAAGGCCGAUGGCGACCGGCGCACGGGUGAGUAACGCGUAUCCAACCUGCCUUACACUCUUGGACAGCCUUCUGAAAGGGAGAUUAAUACAAGAUGUUAUCAUGAGUAAGCAUUUUCACAUGAUUAAAGGUUUACCGGUGUAAGAUGGGGAUGCGUUCCAUUAGAUAGUAGGCGGGGUAACGGCCCACCUAGUCUUCGAUGGAUAGGGGUUCUGAGAGGAAGGUCCCCCACAUUGGAACUGAGACACGGUCCAAACUCCUACGGGAGGCAGCAGUGAGGAAUAUUGGUCAAUGGACGAGAGUCUGAACCAGCCAAGUAGCGUGAAGGAUGAAGGUUCUAUGGAUUGUAAACUUCUUUUAUACGGGAAUAAACGAAUCCACGUGUGGAUUUUUGCAUGUACCGUAUGAAUAAGGAUCGGCUAACUCCGUGCCAGCAGCCGCGGUAAUACGGAGGAUCCGAGCGUUAUCCGGAUUUAUUGGGUUUAAAGGGAGCGUAGAUGGGUUGUUAAGUCAGUUGUGAAAGUUUGCGGCUCAACCGUAAAAUUGCAAUUGAUACUGGCAGUCUUGAGUACAGUUGAGGUAGGCGGAAUUCGUGGUGUAGCGGUGAAAUGCUUAGAUAUCACGAAGAACUCCGAUUGCGAAGGCAGCUUACUAACCUGUAACUGACAUUGAUGCUCGAAAGUGUGGGUAUCAAACAGGAUUAGAUACCCUGGUAGUCCACACGGUAAACGAUGAAUACUCGCUGUAGGCGAUAUACAGUCUGCGGCCAAGCGAAAGCAUUAAGUAUUCCACCUGGGGAGUACGCCGGCAACGGUGAAACUCAAAGGAAUUGACGGGGGCCCGCACAAGCGGAGGAACAUGUGGUUUAAUUCGAUGAUACGCGAGGAACCUUACCCGGGCUUAAAUUGCAACCGAAUAUGGCGGAAACGCUAUAGCUAGCAAUAGCGGUUGUGAAGGUGCUGCAUGGUUGUCGUCAGCUCGUGCCGUGAGGUGUCGGCUUAAGUGCCAUAACGAGCGCAACCCUUGCCGAUAGUUACUAACAGGUCAUGCUGAGGACUCUGUCGGGACUGCCAUCGUAAGAUGUGAGGAAGGUGGGGAUGACGUCAAAUCAGCACGGCCCUUACGUCCGGGGCUACACACGUGUUACAAUGGGGGGUACAGAGGGCUGCUACCACGCAAGUGGAUGCCAAUCCCAAAAACCUCUCUCAGUUCGGAUUGAAGUCUGCAACCCGACUUCAUGAAGCUGGAUUCGCUAGUAAUCGCGCAUCAGCCACGGCGCGGUGAAUACGUUCCCGGGCCUUGUACACACCGCCCGUCAAGCCAUGGGAGCCGGGGGUACCUGAAGUGCGUAACCGCAAGGAGCGCCCUAGGGUAAAACUGGUGACUGGGGCUAAGU